AGAGAGAGAGAGAGAGAGAAAUACAGAGAGAGGGAGAGAGAGGAAAAGAAAUAGGGAAAGAAAUAGAGAGAGAAGGAGAGAAUUCAACGACGAGGAUUCACUGUAGUACGCCGGAAGUACGCCGAUCCUCCAAUUUGCGCAUCAAAGAUCACGCGUAUUAAUCGUAAAUCGCGUCCGGGUUUUCCACCAAAAAAACAAAAUUCACCAACUCACUCGAAUUUGCUCGUUCGUUCUCGUUUAUAACCUCGAAACGAAGCCACGAUAUUCAAUGGCGUCACCGUUCGCGCACGCACAGGGUGAAAGAACACAAGUUUGAAAGAAACGACGACGUGGGGUACGACGUACACGCACGUGGACCGCGCAAAGGUGCCGUCAAAAUUCGUGUGUGAGGAUGGAACUCGCGAUGGAAAGAGA